rnacentral:lncRNA from 1 species
GUUUUUUUUCUUACACUUGAAAUUCAUAACUCCUAAUGGGCAAUCCAGCUGAAUUAUAUUUCCAUAUGGUUAAAGAAAAAAUGACCAGUCAUUGAGAAAGAUAAAGACAUUUUCCAGUCAACCAUUAACAUCAGAACACAUACACCUUGUUUUAUUUGGCAAUUGGCCUCUGCUUUUUCAACUCCAACGCAAUGCUAACUUAAUAAUACAGAAGACAGUUCACUGACAGGGAGACCAUUCUGCCCCACCAGAACAGCGACACAAUUUAAAAUCGUUUCAAUUCUCAGUCAAGAAAGCCAGAAAUCCCUUUGGUCGUUGGAGGAAAUGGUUUCUGGAUCCUCCCUGGUAAAAUACAGGAAUUCACCCUCCCAUCAUGCAGCAGGUACGUCAGAGUUCAGCUUCUGUGGCAGUUUCCUCUGAGAACAUUUGCAAAGAGAGAUGCUCCCUGCGUACUCUCACAGUCUGGAGCAGAAAAGGGAUUGUGAUAAACUCCAGAAGAUGGGAUUCUUCAUAGUUGUCCUCAGUGUCUUUCCUCCUCUAAUUUGACAAAAUCAGGACUCACAUUUCAGGCUUCUUGCCUCCCCAAGCUGCAGCCACACCAGUAACUUUGUGCAAGCGCAGGUCUCAGUCACAGCCUUGAGCACGUGCAUGGUCUUGAAUGUGAUCACAGAUACAGACAGUUAACGAAUCAACACUCCUGCAUCAAUGGAUUCCUCUCUGGCUGGUAAAUAAAUCACAUUUGCUUUAUUUAAUUCUGUCUUCAAAAUUGUGCUCAAGACUUCCUUCCACCAUGAAGCUUGAAUUCAUCACUCACAUCCAAUUAUCCAAUAAAUUCAGCUCUUCACCAUUCCCAUUGUUCCCCAUUAUAACCUUUUUAGCCCUGAGAGUAUCCAUAGACCCCUUUAAAAAUGUGUGUGUGCACAUAUGUGUGCAUGCGUGCAUGCACAUGUGUGUGAGUGUGCAUAUGAGUGCAUGUGUGUGUGUGUGUGUGUUUCUGCUACCUCUAUUUGAAAACACAGGUAGCCACUGCACGGCCAUAUUAAUAUAUGUUGAUGGAUAAGUUUUAAAGCACAGAUAAUGCUCAUGUUUGCACAGGUGCAUACACUCACCAUCGCUGGAAGCUACCUAAGAACAAUUGUGAAGAUCUGAAAGCUGACAGACAGGUCAAUGAUUUUCACAGUCCAAGUUGAAGCAGAACAGCCAGGAGAGAGGAAGGGCUCUGGGUCACAGCUACCGGGAAAAUCCAGAAGCUUUUGGCAGCUGCCUUGCACCCUCCCAUCUUCAAGCUCUGGGCAGCGGUCGUUCCCUGGUGUCUGGAUCUGGGCACUGGCAUCAGAGUGAGAGGAAGCUUGAUACAGGCUCUUUGUCUCUAGUUUAACAAAGCACAGAGAUAGGACAUAAACUCAUGUCCACACGCUCCAGGAAAGCAUGCGUGUCCACGGCCGUUCUCAGAGAAAAUGAGAGAGCCCAGAGUCCUCAAGAAAACCUCUAAACAGCUGCUUGAAUUCCUCGGCUCAAGACACCUUCCUGAAAUCACUUCAAUUCUUGCUUCCAUCAUCACAUCUGCUAUGUCCUCCUUUGACCUUCUUGCCACCCUCUUAUAAGGACCCUUGUGAUGACAUCUAGGAGCCACCUGCAUAAGACAGGGUAGCAAAGGAGCUUAUUCAAGUCUUCUGUGAGGCCUAAUGAAAGGACUGGCCACCUAAUAACAAUUGAAAUGGGGUUUUCCUUCAGUGCAGUGGGAGGAGGCCACGAGAGGCAUUUAACUUAAUUUAAAGUGUGACAUUUCUUUGCCUUUCUGGAGUAGAAUUCACACCCACCCCACUACCCUGGCUCCCUCACAUGGAGUUUUUCCUCCCUCUGAGUUCUUUCAGAACCGUCUCCAUCUUCUACAUCCUCUACAGGAUUCUCCAGCAAUUAAAAAUGGCCCCUCAGGAUGAAAGGUAGACAGCGACAUCUACUUUUAUCUGGUAAAACCAAUCGGACCUCACAGCAGUCAUUACGAGAAGAGCAUGUGUGUGAUUUUGGUCACUGACAGAAUGAAUUGUGUCCUGGAAUUGGCUCCGACUGACUCAGAAGAGCAAAUUGUUCAAAAUCAGAAAUUUUGUGAGAAGUUGCUGAACCACUGCUAACUUCAAACCAGCCAUGGCAGGAAAUUGGCAAAUACUACAACAGAUCAAGGCUUGUUUUUUGUCGUUGUGAUGGUGGUGGUUUUGUUUUGGUUUGUUUUUUCCCUUUCCAAAAGCC